AUGCAUCAUGAUUGCUUUGCGCCGAUAGUCCAUAGAGAUAUAACAAGUAACAACAUUUUGCUUGAUCUGGAAUUUAGAGCACGCAUCUCUGAUUCUGGUAUUGCUAAACUAUUAGAUGUGGAUGGGUCAAACUGCACAAGGCUUGCCUGGACAAAAGGAUAUCUUGCACCAGAGCUUGCAUACACAACAAGGGUGACGGAGAAGUGUGACGUCUAUAGUUUUGGAGUGCUUGUGCUCGAGUUGUUGAUGGGACAUCAUCCGGGUGAUUUUCUUUCGUCCCUCUCGUCCAUGGACAAGAAAAGUACAAUAGCAAAGGAUUUUCUGGACACCUGGCUCCCAUUGCCUAAAGCUGGGAUUGCAAAUGAAAUAUUCAAAGUGAUUGCCAUCGCUGUUCGGUGCAUAGAACCUGACCCAUUACACCGUCCAACGAUGCAGGAUGCAAUCAAGGUGUUCUCUGCAGAUGAAGGGCCCAGUAAUCUUGAUUGCCUGGACACUGAAAUCGUCAUCCCUGCUUGUGGUUUUGAAUGUUCUUAG
rnacentral:rRNA from 1 species